rnacentral:rRNA from 1 species
CUGCUGCCUCCCGUAGGAGUCUGGUCCGUGUCUCAGUACCAGUGUGGGGGACCUUCCUCUCAGAACCCCUACGCAUCGUCGCCUCGGUGGGCCGUUACCCCGCCGACUAGCUAAUGCGACGCAUGGCCAUCCUAUGCCGGAGUCGCCUCCUUUGACCCCAAGAAGAUGUCUCCUAAAGGUGUUAUGCGGUAUUAGACGGAAUUUCUUCCGCUUAUCCCCCUGCAUAGGGCAGGUUCCAUACGUGUUACUCACCCGUGCGCCGGUCCGG